rnacentral:rRNA from 1 species
AUUGAACGCUGGCGGCAGGCCUAACACAUGCAAGUCGAGCGGAUGAAGGGAGCUUGCUCCUGGAUUCAGCGGCGGACGGGUGAGUAAUGCCUAGGAAUCUGCCUGGUAGUGGGGGAUAACGUCCGGAAACGGGCGCUAAUACCGCAUACGUCCUGAGGGAGAAAGUGGGGGAUUUUCGGACCUCACGCUAUCAGAUGAGCCUAGGUCGGAUUAGCUAGUUGGUGGGGUAAAGGCCUACCAAGGCGACGAUCCGUAACUGGUCUGAGAGGAUGAUCAGUCACACUGGAACUGAGACACGGUCCAGACUCCUACGGUAGGCAGCAGUGGGGAAUAUUGGACAAUGGGCGAAAGCCUGAUCCAGCCAUGCCGCGUGUGUGAAGAAGGUCUUCGGAUUGUAAAGCACUUUAAGUUGGGAGGAAGGGCAGUAAGUUAAUACCUUGCUGUUUUGACGUUACCAACAGAAUAAGCACCGGCUAACUUCGUG